rnacentral:tRNA from 1 species
UCCCUGGUGGUCCAGUGGUUAAGACUCUGUACUUCCAAUGUAGAAUUCGAGGGUUCUAUCCCUGGUCAGGGAA